AGCUACCGCUACACGGGCCUGAAAUACGAUAGAGAAACGAUUUCAAGUAUCGAAAAGCACAAUAUAUUACUAUCAAUAUGGACAACCACAAAUCUACUGCAGUUAGGAAGACGACCGAGAGACCACCGACGA